GCAUGAAGUCGGAAUCGCUAGUAAUCGCGGAUCAGCAUGCCGCGGUGAAUACGUUCCCGGGCCUUGUACACACCGCCCGUCACACCAUGAGAGUCUGUAACACCCAAAGCCGGUGGGAUAACCUCUAUAGGAGUCAGCCGUCUAAGGUAGGACAGAUGAUUAGGGUGAAGUCGUAACAAGGUAAC
rnacentral:rRNA from 1 species